AUUCAUUCGAGUAAAAAGUUUGAUUAGUCACCUAACUUAGCACUAUGUCACAUUGUAGUCACUGAACUUUCUUUCGCGGUUGAACGGUCACUCAACUUCAAAACUCGCCACUCUAUCCAUCACCCAGCAUCCCCCCCAUUUGAAACUAUCUCACGUGGCUUGACGGCGGCCGACGUGGCAAUCGACGGCGUGAAAAUCGGACAUGGUGGAUGCGAUUUCAAUUUACAAACACGAUCCUUCACUUCCAAUAUGAAAUUCCGUCACUCCAUUACCCGUAAUUCAAGGUCUGAGCCCUAGAUUCAUUUCUUCUCUCCCAAUUCGAUUCGUCAGACUUGGGAACACCGGACUCAAAUGUUUCUCCGUCUUCGCAGCAACGACAGAAGGUAAAAUUUGAUGUGUUGGGAGAGAGCUGCACGCAUCGACUCUUAAAGAUGGACCAGCAGCCACUUCAUAUAAUAUUCCUACGGACGAAGCUAACUUCGAAGUGUUCGUGGAUAAGCUGCAAUACAUAGACGAUGCCAAAUAUUCAAGGUUGAGAUUGAAAAGGGCACGAAGAAGACGACUUGUUAACACUUUGACAACAACGUCCCUGCAGUCUUCAGGCAAUACCAAACGGGCAGAUUAAUAUUUGAAGGAUAGGGCAGCUUAUUUGGACUCAUAUUGUCUUGCCUUUUUGUCUAGCUAUGGAAUGGAAUUUAUAAAUUUUUGUGGAUAGUAACAUGCCAAGUAAAAAAAAAAACCUUGCAGUGUUGACGUUGCUUAUAAUUCCGGUAUUUAACAUAGACUAUGUUGUGAUAGCAAUGAUUCCAGUGUGUCAUCAGAUGAAUUAUAUAUUUUUGUUAAUGGUCGUGUUUCAGAAUAGAUGAAAUAGUGUUUUUUGCACCCCACCCACUCGGAUCGCAAAGAAGAUGAGCCAAGCCAAGCUGGCUAAGCAGAUAAAUGAGCAGCCAUAGGUGGUUCAAGAGUAUGAGAAUGGAAAGACUGUGUCAAACCAAGCUAUGCUGGUGAAAAUGGAGAGAGUCUUGGCUGUGAAGCUGAGAUGGAAAGUUGUACAUAAAUGAUGAUUAUAAUUGAAUAUUGAUAUAACUA